rnacentral:piRNA from 1 species
UUGAGAAGAAUCUGGGUGGGAAU